AGUGAACGCUGGCGGUAGGCCUAACACAUGCAAGUCGAACGGCAGCACAGUAAUAUCGUGCUCUUACGGGUGGCCAAUGGCGUACGGGUGAGGAAUACAUCGUAAUCUACUUUUUCGGGGGGGAUAACGUAGGGAAACUUACUCUAAUACCGCAUACGACCUACGAGUGAAAGCAGUGGAUCGUCGCACCUUGCGCGAUUGGAUGCGCCGAUGUCGGAUUAGCUAGUUGGCGGGGUAAAGGCCCACCAAGUCGACGAUCCGUAGCUGGUCUGAGAGGAUGAUCAGCGACCCUGGAAGUGAGACACGGUCAAGACUCCUACGGGAGGCCGCAGUGGGGAAUAUUGGACAAUGGGCGCAAGCCUGAUCCAGCCAUACCGCGUGGGUGAAGAAGGCGUUCGGGUUGUAAAGCCCUUUUGUUGGGAAAGAAAAGCAGCAGGUUAAUACCCCGCUGUUCUGACGGUAACCAAAGAAUAAGCACCGGCUAACUUCGUG
rnacentral:rRNA from 1 species